AGAGUUUGAUCCUGGCUCAGAACGAACGCUGGCGGCGUGCCUAACACAUGCAAGUCGAGCGAGAAAGUCUUCGGAUGAGUAAAGCGGCGGACGGGUGAGUAAUACGUAGGUAAUCUACUUUUUUGUGUGGAAUAACUAAGGGAAACUUUAGCUAAUACCGCAUGUAUUUUCAGAUCGCAUGAUUUGAAAAAAGGGGGGGGUCGCAAAAUCUCUCGCAAAAAGAUGAGCCUGCGCACGAUUAGCUAGUUGGUGAGGUAAUGGCUCACCUAGGCGACGAUCGUUAACAGAUCUGAGAGGAUGAUCUGCCACACUGGAACUGACACACGGUCCACACUCCUACGGGAGGCAGCAGUGGGGAAUAUUGCACAAUGGAAGAAACUCUGAUGCAGCGACGCCGCGUGGGUGAUGAAGGCCUUCGGGUUGUAAAGCCCUGUCGGCUGGGAACAAGGUAGACGUGCUCAUACCACGCUUGCUUGAGUGUACCAGCAAAGGAAGCACCGGCUAACCCUGUGCCAGCAGCCGCGGUAAUACGGGGGGUGCUAGCGUUGUUCGGAAUUACUGGGCGU
rnacentral:rRNA from 1 species